rnacentral:rRNA from 1 species
ACUUCGGGAAACCGGAGCUAAUACCGGAUAAUAUAUUGAACCGCAUGGUUCAAUAGUGAAAGACGGUUUUGCUGUCACUUAUAGAUGGAUCCGCGCCGCAUUAGCUAGUUGGUAAGGUAACGGCUUACCAAGGCAACGAUGCGUAGCCGACCUGAGAGGGUGAUCGGCCACACUGGAACUGAGACACGGUCCAGACUCCUACGGGAGGCAGCAGUAGGGA